AUACUUACCUGGCAGGAAGAUUUCAAAUAUUAUGAAGGUGGUUUCCCUAGGGUGAAUCUUAUUCUUUGCCCUCAGGACAUGCUGAUCCCUGCAACUUUCCCCAGUGCAGGGAACUCAACUACACAAUUUGUAGCAGUGGGGAACUGCUUUUCGGUUCUUCUCUU